CUGUCUCAGUUCGGAUUGGAGGCUGAAACCCGCCUCCAUGAAGUUGGAUUCGCUAGUAAUCGCGCAUCAGCCAUGGCGCGGUGAAUACGUUCCCGGGCCUUGUACACACCGCCCGUCAAGCCAUGGGAGCCGGGGGUGCCUGAAGUUCGUGACCGCAAGGAGCGACCUAGGGCAAAACUGGUGACUGGGGCUAAGUCGUAACAAGGUACC
rnacentral:rRNA from 1 species